UGCNAGUUGUACGAGANUUUUUAAUUCAAGUAGCGGACGGGUGAGUAACACGUAAGAAUUUGCCUUUAGGAGGGGGAUAACAACUGGAAACGGUUGCUAAUACCCCAUAUGCUUUCGAGUGAAAUGGAGUUUUCCGCCUAGAGAGAAGCUUGCGGCUGAUUAGCUUGUUGGUGGGGUAAUGGCCUACCAAGGCGACGAUCAGUAUCUGGUUUGAGAGGAUGAUCAGACACACUGGAACUGAGACACGGUCCAGACUCCUACGGGAGGCAGCAGUGGGGAAUUUUCCGCAAUGGGCGAAAGCCUGACGGAGCAAUCUCGCGUGAAGGAUGACUGCCUAUGGGUUGUAAACCUCUUUUUUCAGGGAGGAACAAAAUGACGUGUACCUGAAGAAUAAGCAUCGGCUAACUCCGUGCCAGCAGCCGCGGUAAGACGGAGGAUGCAAGUGUUAUCCGGAAUCACUGGGCGUAAAGCGUCUGUAGGUGGUUUAGUAAGUCAACUGUUAAAUCUUGAAGCUCAACUUCAAAAUCGCAGUCGAAACUACUAGACUAGAGUAUAGUAGGGGUAAAGGGAAUUUCCAGUGGAGCGGUGAAAUGCGUAGAGAUUGGAAAGAACACCGAUGGCGAANGCACUUUACUGGGCUAUUACUGACACUCAGAGACGAAAGCUAGGGUAGCAAAUGGGAUUAGAUACCCCAGUAGUCCUAGCCGUAAACAAUGGAUACUAGAUGUUGAACAGAUCAACCUGUGCAGUAUUAAAGCUAACGCGUUAAGUAUCCCGCCUGGGNAGUAUGCUCGCAAGANUGAAACUCAAAG
rnacentral:rRNA from 1 species